UACGAAGGGGGCUAGCGUUGCUCGGAAUCACUGGGCGUAAAGCGCACGUAGGCGGCUCAGUAAGUCAGGUGUGAAAACUCCAGGCUCAACCUGGAGACGCCACUUGAUACUGCUGUGGCUAGAGUCCGGUAGGGGAGCAUGGAAUUCCUGGUGUAGCGGUGAAAUGCGCAGAUAUCAGGAGGAACACCAGUGGCGAAGGCGGUUCUCUGGGACGGUACUGACGCUGAGACGCGAAAGCUAGGGGGAGCGAACAGG
rnacentral:rRNA from 1 species